rnacentral:rRNA from 1 species
AGAGUUUGAUCCUGGCUCAGGAUGAACGCUGGCGGCGUGCCUAACACAUGCAAGUCGAGCGAUCUUCUUCGGAAGAGAGCGGCGGACGGGUGAGUAACGCGUGGGUAACCUGCCCUGUACACACGGAUAACAUACCGAAAGGUAUGCUAAUACGAGAUAAUAUGCUUUUAUCGCAUGGUAGAAGUAUCAAAGCUCCGGCGGUACAGGAUGGACCCGCGUCUGAUUAGCUAGUUGGUAAGGUAACGGCUUACCAAGGCGACGAUCAGUAGCCGACCUGAGAGGGUGAUCGGCCACAUUGGAACUGAGACACGGUCCAAACUCCUACGGGAGGCAGCAGUGGGGAAUAUUGCACAAUGGGCGAAAGCCUGAUGCAGCAACGCCGCGUGAGCGAUGAAGGCCUUCGGGUCGUAAAGCUCUGUCCUCAAGGAAGAUAAUGACGGUACUUGAGGAGGAAGCCCCGGCUAACUCCGUGCCAGCAGCCGCGGUAAUAC